UGACAAAGUGUUGAGGCUAAUUCAGGGCUGUUUCCCUGUUCUGGUAAUUAAACUUUGGGACAUUAAGACAUAAGCUGGGAGAGAUGAUUGGGUAGAAGGUAUUUCUCUAUAUCCCUCCUAGCCUACAAAA